CAGAGACUGCAAGCGUUAUUCGGAUUCACUGGGCGUAAAGGGUGGCGCAGGCGGUCGUGUGUGUCAGAUGUGAAAUCCCGGAGCUUAACUCCGGAACUGCGUCUGAAACUACACGACUAGAGCAUUGGAGAGGGAAGUGGAAUUCAUGGUGUAGCAGUGAAAUGCGUAGAUAUCAUGAGGAACACCAGAGGCGAAGGCGACUUCCUGGACAAUUGCUGACGCUCAGGCACGAAAGCAUGGGGAGCAAGAGGGAUUAGAUACCCCUGUAGUCCAUGCCCUAAACGGUGCACACUAGGUCUUGGAGGAUUCGACCCCUUCAGGGCCCAAGCUAACGCGUUAAGUGUGCCGCCUGAGGACUACGGUCGCAAGACUA
rnacentral:rRNA from 1 species